rnacentral:rRNA from 1 species
AUUGAACGCUGGCGGCAGGCCUAACACAUGCAAGUCGAGCGGACGAAGGGGGCGUGCGCCUGGAUUCAGCGGCGGACGGGCGAGUAAGGCCUAGGAAGCUGACCUGCAUUGGGGGAUAACGUCCGGUAAGGGGCGCUAAGACCGCACACGUCCUGAUGGAGAAAGGGGGGGAUCUUUGGAGCUCAAGGGAUCAGAUGAGCCUAGGACGUAUUAGCUAGUUGGUAGGGUAAAGGCCUACCAAGGCGACGAUCCGUAACAGGUCUGAGAGGAUGAUCAGCCACACUGGAACUGAGACACGGUCCAGACUCCUACGGGAGGCAGCAGUGGGGAAUCUUCCGCAAUGGGCGAAAGCCUGAUCCAGCAACGCCGCGUGUGUGAUGAAGGUCUUCGGAUUGUAAAGCUCUUUAAUUUGGGAGGAAGAGCUGUGAGUUAAUCCCUUCCUGUCUUGACGUUACCUACAGAGUAAGCCCCGGCUAACUUCGUG